ACAACCCACCUCGUGAAACUCAUCCACCGGCUGAUUGUAGAGUCGCGUGCUGAUGACGUCAAAAGGUGUCAUUGUGAUGGCCACAGCGACCCCGCUGAUGCUGGCAGCCAUCAAAGCCGUGAGCCAGCUGCCAGGGCCGAACCACUGCGAGAACGAAGGGAGAGAGAUUAGCGAGCAGCCGCUCAAUCACGUGCGCUCCAAAAAUGGCAGCCGUUGAGCCUGCCGCCCACCUGGGAAUGUGUGACCCACUCCUUGGCCGAGGUGAAGGUUGCCAGUUGAGCAGCUGAGCCGACGGCGACUCGAGGCACGGCUCCGUUCACACCCCUCCAGAGUCCGAAUGGUUAUGCUGAUGGCCGACUGCAAUUGCUUCCACUGUUUGAGCCUGCAGGUGCGUCUUCACCUUCCAAAGACAAAACAUUAAAAAUGUGCACAUAAGAGGUUGAAAAACGAGCGGGAGACCAACUUACCAGGUAAGCAGGAGAAGCAACGACCGCUCCGAGGGCUCCGGCCCCCGCGCCUGACAGGACACUUCCUCCAUGGUACGAGGUGACGCCCAGGGCUUCGCAAUAAGAAUAGGAGCCCAGCCUCACCCCGUUCAUCACCCCCUGGUACACCAACCCCACUGAGAGCCCCUUCUGCAGACCCCGCAGCCCGUCUGUGCACCCCACCACCCACAGAGCCUGGAGGACCCCGCGGUAGUGCCUCUGGUAGGUUCCAGCUGCACGCAGCUCUCCUUGAAGCUGCAAGCGCGUCUUGACCACCUCUAGAGGGUUGGUGAAGACGCAGGCGGCGCAGCACGCCAAGGCACCGAGGGCAAAGUCCAGAGGAGGCCAGACGGUCGGACGGGGCGGCGAGGGGACGAAAAUGCUGGCGGUUACAGGCGACACGGUGGACGCCAUUGUGUGACGACAGGCCUAAGAAAUCAGCAGGAGUGGACUUGUUGUCAUCUCAUACAGCUGACACUUUGUCCUCCUGGUGAUAAGCGAGUGUGUGUGUGUAUCUACACAGGGAGGGAAGUAAAACAAGAAUGCUGUCAGUCAUACUGUUUUUCCACCUUGGCUUUCCUUCAUUAAGACAGGCGUCCUCUGCAAGACAAAGUAUUGCUUUCAUUGUCUCCAUGCACAAAAAUAUGUUACGAAAAAAAUUACAGCUGCCUUAAAGCCCAACUAAAUGCUUUCAGUUUUGGUUAAUUUUGGCGGCACCAGUGGACCAAAGCGGUAGUGUUUUGCCAGAAGGAAGACCACAUUUCCAAUGAUGACUAGUGCAAAGAGUGUCAGACUGACAUGACGUCUGCUGUAAUACUGGCACAAAUAUGACAUCUCUAAGGCAGUGUUUUUCAACCAUUGUGCCGUGGCACACUAGUGUACCGUGAGAUACAGUCUGGUGUGCUGUGGGAGAUUAUGUAAUUUCACCUAAUUGGGUUAAAAAUAUUUUUUGCAAACCAGUAGUUAUAAUCCACAAAUAAUGUGCCGUUGUUGAGUGUCUGUGUUGUCUAGGGCACGGCAGAGUAACUAUGUAAUACUCUUCCAUAUCAGCAGGUGGCAGCAGGUAGCUAAUUGCUUUGUAGAUGUCGGAACAUGGUUUGUCGCGAUCACAAUAUGCGGGAGGCAGCGUACAGGUAAAAAUGUAUCUAACACUUCAACCAAAAACAAAUAAUAGGCGAGUGCCGCUAAGAAAAGGGAUUGAAGCUUAGGGAAGGCUAUGCAAAAGGAAACUAAAACUGAACUAGCUGCAAAGUAAACAAAAACAGAAUGCUGGACGACAGCAAAGACUUACAGGGUGUAGAGCAGACGGCGCUCAGAUAGUAUAUCCGUACAUGACAUGACAAUCAACAAUGUGCCCACAAAGAAGGAUAGUGUACGCACAACUAAUAUAGUCUUGAUUGCGAAAACAAAGCAGGUGCGAGGAAUAGCGUUCAAGGAAGAUAAGAGACUGCUACAGGAAAAUACAAACAAAAGAGGAAAAGUCACCAAAAUAGGAGCGCAAGACAAGAACUAAAACACUACACACAGGAAAACACCAAAGAACUCAAAAUAAGUCACGGUUUGAUGUGACAGGUGGUGACAGUACACCUACUUUGAGACAAGAGCUAUAGAAAUGCAUGCUUGGUGUCCGGCAGAAAAGCCAGACAUCAAACACAAGGAGAAAACACAGAUUACAGAAAAUAAAUUCGUAUUAUCCCACAGGGGGAAUACAGAAUGUCAAAACGUAAGUUUAAGAAAGGAGGGACUGCUGGCGUAACCUAAAGCGCCCAAAUAAAUAUUUGUUACUUUGGGAAAAUAGGUCUACAUGGUCGUGAAAUAUGCGCUCCCAGGGCACGAUCUGCGGCAUAUUGCAGUAGCAGCUAAUGCAUUGCCAUUGUGUGCGUGCAUGCGCGCGUGCAUGCGCGCGUGCACGCACUCGGUACUUUGACAUGUCUAUAUAUUGCUGAUUUUUUUCUAUGUCUGUCUGACUGUCGGACUUAUCUAUAUAUAUCUAUAUCUAUCUAUCUAUCUAUCUAUUUAUCUAUUUAUCUAUUAUAUUAAUUUAACAUUAGACAAUAGAAGUAAGGGAACUUGUCACACUUAACUAAAAAUAGGCCACCCUAAGGGUGCUCUGGAGCACUUGUAGAUUUUGCUCUUACCUAUUAACAAAUCUGAGCUAAGAAAACAUUGGUAAAUACAAAAAUCUCCUUAAAAACUUUGUAAAAGGGCCGAAGAACAAAAUGUGUUCUUAAGAACGGUUGCUGAAUGGGGCCCAAUUUUCACCACCUUAAAACUUGACAGAAACAACUACGUUUGAAGUGACAAACUUGCCAUCCAAACAAUACCCCGUUUGUUGACAAGAACCUACGGCCAUAGAAGCACUUUCAAUAUAUUCAUUAAGCAGAGGUUAACAUAAACCAGUGAACGACUCAAAUGAGCUGACAUCAGAUCCGACAAACUGCUGAUGCUAGCUUGUUAAGUUAACAAAAACAGAUCAAGCUAUGCCUGUGAGACUCAGACUAACCGUGGACCCGCUGACGUCACACGUCACGAGGCAACAGGCACUGUCUUUUAAAAGCCACACGUACAGACGCUUACGCAACUAGUGCACUAAUCGCUAGCUGGCAACUAGUACUCAAAUAGAUAGCAGUAUGUAUAUCGCUAGCUAGCAACUAAUGCGCUAAUUGCUCACUGGCAACUAGUGCGCUAAUAACUAGCUGGCAACUAGUACUCAAAUAGUUAGCUAGCAAUGAGAGUGCAAACCGCUAGCUAUAAACUACAGCACUAAUCACUAACUAGUAACAAGAGCGCUAAUCACUAACUGGCAAACUAGAGUACUCUUCGCUUGCAGGCAACUGGCACGGUAAUCGCUAGCUGACAAAUAGUCUGCAAAUUGCUAGCUGGCAACUAGAGCACAAAUCGCUAGUUGGCAAUUACAAUUCUAAUUUCUAGCUAUUUUAAAGGGGAACUGUACUUUUUGGGGAAUUUUGCCCAUCGUUCACAAUCGUUAUGAGAGACAAAACAAAAGGGUUUUUUUUUUUUUUUUUGCAUUCUAAUAUGUAAAAAAUGGCUCGUUCUCAGUCGCUAGUAAUUCAGCUAAUCAGUUCUACCUCUUAAUCAUUUUAAAAAUGCCUUCAAUACUUCAUUUACCUUCCAUAACCUGUAUAAUACCCAAGCUUUAGCGACAUUGUUAUUGUAAGAGCCAACAGUGAGAAACUCUUUUACGGUAUAAGCCAUAAAAGCCGGAAAAAGACAAGCUGCCUUCUACGACUACACAAAACGCAUUUGACUUUGUAAUGCACAACACUGUGAUAAGACAUUAAUUUGUGCCGACUGAAAAACAGGAACACUCAUAUUACAGUUUCUGUAAAGUAUUAGCCCACAUUUCAUGUUUUGUUUGUACACAUAUAGCCAGACACCGUAUGUACUGUAGAUUCAAUAACACGCAUGACGUUCUGCAUGUAACAUGAACUAUAUUAAAGUACGACUCAAUCGAUGGGACAGUUGUGCGUUUGUUCUAGCUGGCCAGGAACGUUUUUUCCAGUUUAUUUGGGUAAGCACUCCAAUAAUGACAAAUUAGCAUGGUUCCAAGUUCCACAUUUACAAAGUCAGUUUCAUCUUACUCACUCUUCUUUUGUCUGCUCCAACAUCUCACCUUUUCUAUAAGCCUCAGUAUAUUCAGCUUCAAAAAUAUAAAGUUGUGAAUCCUCA